AAUUGAAUCGCUUCAUAAAUACCUAUUUCUCGCCAGGAGGCGCCAUAAGCGGAUUCUACUCUAUCUAACCAAGCCAAAUACGCUUCAGAGACACUUGGCCAAGUUCUGAGACUCUUCCCUGUCGAAGCUGAUGAGUAUCAAGAAUGGAGAUGAAUAACUCUUUUCAGAGGAAAUCCCUCAUCAGAGAAAGGGGAGUCAGUAGGGGAUGGUAUGUCUAAAAGAGAAGGUCCUAAUAUAAACCUAGAAGGAUCUAAAUCAACGAAGGGUUUGAGUAUGGUAUAGUCAAGAGAUGAAUGAGAAGGAAGAGGAGGAACCAGAGACAUUGUUCAAAAGAAGAGAAGAGCCGAGAGAUUCGGUUAGGAAAAGAAAGAAGAAUUGAAAGAGACAAAAAGAAUGGGAAGCUUGAUGAAGAAGAAAAGGCUGUUGUAUCGAACUAUCGCGUCGAUUACGAGUCCCGAGAUCGGCUAUAAUGAUGAAUAGACGGCGGUAAUUAAGAUGACCUAAUUAAUGCCGCGUAUGAGACAAAAUUGAGAAUGUGAUCAAAGGCCGUGGAGAAAAGAAU
rnacentral:lncRNA from 1 species